GACGAACGCUGGCGGCGUGCUUAACACAUGCAAGUCGAACGGAAAGGCCCUGCUUUUGUGGGGUGCUCGAGUGGCGAACGGGUGAGUAACACGUGAGUAACCUGCCCUUGACUUUGGGAUAACUUCAGGAAACUGGGGCUAAUACCGGAUAGGAGCUCCUGCUGCAUGGUGGGGGUUGGAAAGUUUCGGCGGUUGGGGAUGGACUCGCGGCUUAUCAGCUUGUUGGUGGGGUAGUGGCUUACCAAGGCUUUGACGGGUAGCCGGCCUGAGAGGGUGACCGGCCACAUUGGGACUGAGAUGAGGCCCAGACUCCUACGGGAGGCAGCAGUGGGGAAUAUUGCACAAUGGGCGGAAGCCUGAUGCAGCAACGCCGCGUGCGGGAUGACGGCCUUCGGGUUGUAAACCGCUUUCGCCUGUGACGAAGCGUGAGUGACGGUAAUGGGUAAAGAAGCACCGGCUAACUACGUG
rnacentral:rRNA from 1 species